AUGAACGCUAGCUACAGGCUUAACACAUGCAAGUCGAGGGGCAGCAUGGUCUUAGCUUGCUAAGGCCGAUGGCGACCGGCGCACGGGUGAGUAACACGUAUCCAACCUGCCGUCUACUCUUGGACAGCCUUCUGAAAGGAAGAUUAAUACAAGAUGGCAUCAUGAGUCCGCAUGUUCACAUGAUUAAAGGUAUUCCGGUAGACGAUGGGGAUGCGUUCCAUUAGAUAGUAGGCGGGGUAACGGCCCACCUAGUCUUCGAUGGAUAGGGGUUCUGAGAGGAAGGUCCCCCACAUUGGAACUGAGACACGGUCCAAACUCCUACGGGAGGCAGCAGUGAGGAAUAUUGGUCAAUGGGCGAGAGCCUGAACCAGCCAAGUAGCGUGAAGGAUGACUGCCCUAUGGGUUGUAAACUUCUUUUAUAAAGGAAUAAAGUCGGGUAUGGAUACCCGUUUGCAUGUACUUUAUGAAUAAGGAUCGGCUAACUCCGUGCCAGCAGCCGCGGUAAUACGGAGGAUUCGAGCGUUAUCCGGAUUUAUUGGGUUUAAAGGGAGCGUAGAUGGAUGUUUAAGUCAGUUGUGAAAGUUUGCGGCUCAACCGUAAAAUUGCAGUUGAUACUGGAUAUCUUGAGUGCAGUUGAGGCAGGAGGAAUUCGUGGUGUAGCGGUGAAAUGCUUAGAUAUCACGAAGAACUCCGAUUGCGAAGGCAGCCUGCUAAGCUGCAACUGACAUUGAGGCUCGAAAGUGUGGGUAUCAAACAGGAUUAGAUACCCUGGUAGUCCACACGGUAAACGAUGAAUACUCGCUGUUUGCGAUAUACGGCAAGCGGCCAAGCGAAAGCGUUAAGUAUUCCACCUGGGGAGUACGCCGGCAACGGUGAAACUCAAAGGAAUUGACGGGGGCCCGCACAAGCGGAGGAACAUGUGGUUUAAUUCGAUGAUACGCGAGGAACCUUACCCGGGCUUAAAUUGCAGAUGAAUUACGGUGAAAGCCGUAAGCCGCAAGGCAUCUGUGAAGGUGCUGCAUGGUUGUCGUCAGCUCGUGCCGUGAGGUGUCGGCUUAAGUGCCAUAACGAGCGCAACCCUUGUUGUCAGUUACUAACAGGUUCCGCUGAGGACUCUGACAAGACUGCCAUCGUAAGAUGUGAGGAAGGUGGGGAUGACGUCAAAUCAGCACGGCCCUUACGUCCGGGGCUACACACGUGUUACAAUGGGGGGUACAGAGGGCCGCUACCACGCGAGUGGAUGCCAAUCCCCAAAACCUCUCUCAGUUCGGACUGGAGUCUGCAACCCGACUCCACGAAGCUGGAUUCGCUAGUAAUCGCGCAUCAGCCACGGCGCGGUGAAUACGUUCCCGGGCCUUGUACACACCGCCCGUCAAGCCAUGGGAGCCGGGGGUACCUGAAGUGCGUAACCGCGAGGAGCGCCCUAGGGUAAAACUGGUGACUGGGGCU
rnacentral:rRNA from 1 species